GGGAGCUCUGGCUGCAACAUAAGUCAGCCCACUGAUUGCCAAGUUUGGUUUGACAUAACUGGCAAGGCAGGGGUCUUCACAACUCCAUGUGCAUCCUCCCUGUACCUGUGCACAGGUACAGUAGGUGUACCUGUACCACCUACUCGGUGGAAAAGGACAACCUUCCUGAUAUAGGAGGAUGAUCACAUGGUCAAAUGCACACCAGGAGCUGUACUCCCUUGUUAGAACGUCCAAACAAGAUCUCCAAUAAGAACAACCUCAUAAGCAUUAAAAGACUAUAUACAUGCAUAAAGCACAUAAAAUAACACCUGACCUAU
ensembl:misc_RNA 7SK 7SK RNA